rnacentral:rRNA from 1 species
UCAGUAGCGGCGAGUGAAGCGGCAAAAGCUCAAAUUUGAAAUCUGGCGUCUUUGGCGUCCGAGUUGUAAUUUGAAGAAGGUAUCUUUGGGCCCGGCUCUUGUCUAUGUUCCUUGGAACAGGACGUCACAGAGGGUGAGAAUCCCGUGCGAUGAGAUGACCCGGGUCUGUGUAAAGUUCCUUCGACGAGUCGAGUUGUUUGGGAAUGCAGCUCUAAGUGGGUGGUAAAUUCCAUCUAAAGCUAAAUAUUGGCGAGAGACCGAUAGCGAACAAGUACAGUGAUGGAAAGAUGAAAAGAACUUUGAAAAGAGAGUGAAAAAGUACGUGAAAUUGUUGAAAGGGAAGGGCUUGAGAUCAGACUUGGUAUUUUGCAUGCUGCUCUCUCGGGGGCGGCCGCUGCGGUUUACCGGGCCAGCAUCGGUUUGGAGCGGCAGGAUAAUGGCGGAGGAAUGUGGCACGGCUUCUGCUGUGUGUUAUAGCCUCUGACGAUACUGCCAGCCUAGACCGAGGACUGCGGUUUUUACCUAGGAUGUUGGCAUAAUGAUCUUAAGUCGCCCGUC